CAUUGGAUACAUCGCUGUGAAUAUCGCAAUGCCCGUUUACCACUGUUGUGUGCCGGGAUGCACGUCAUCUACACGAAAACAGCUAAAUUUAUCAAAGUACCCUCAUCUUCAGAAUCGACUGUGACACGCCAACGCUUUUUCCGUACAACAACUUUAAAGAGACGUCUAGGAAAAGAACACCUUGUAACUCCAGC